GACGAACGCUGGCGGCGUGCUUAACACAUGCAAGUCGAACGCUGAAGCUCAGCUUUUGUUGGGUGGAUGAGUGGCGAACGGGUGAGUAACACGUGAGUAACCUGCCCCCUUCUUUGGGAUAACGCCCGGAAACGGGUGCUAAUACUGGAUAUUCACUGGUCUUCGCAUGGGGGUUGGUGGAAAGGGUUUUUCUGGUGGGGGAUGGGCUCGCGGCCUAUCAGCUUGUUGGUGGGGUGAUGGCCUACCAAGGCUUUGACGGGUAGCCGGCCUGAGAGGGUGACCGGUCACAUUGGGACUGAGAUACGGCCCAGACUCCUACGGGAGGCAGCAGUGGGGAAUAUUGCACAAUGGGCGCAAGCCUGAUGCAGCGACGCCGCGUGAGGGAUGGAGGCCUUCGGGUUGUGAACUUCUUUCGCUCAUGGUCAAGCCGCAACAAUGGUUGUGGUGAGGGUAGUGGGUAAAGAAGCGCCGGCUAACUACGUG
rnacentral:rRNA from 1 species